rnacentral:rRNA from 1 species
UACAGAGGUCCCGAGCGUUGUUCGGAUUCAUUGGGCGUAAAGGGUGCGUAGGCGGCUUCCUAAGUUUGAUGUGAAAUCCUGGGGCUCAACCCUGGAACUGCAUUGAAUACUGGGAGGCUAGAGUACUGGAGAGGAAACUGGAAUUUACGGUGUAGCAGUGAAAUGCGUAGAGAUCGUAAGGAAGACCAGUGGCGAAGGCGAGUUUCUGGACAGUUACUGACGCUGAUGCACGAAGGCCAGGGGAGCAAACGGG